rnacentral:rRNA from 1 species
UACGUAGGGUGCGAGCGUUAAUCGGAAUUACUGGGCGUAAAGCGUGCGCAGGCGGUUCGUCGUGUCCGAUGUGAAAGCCCCGGGCUCAACCUGGGAAUGCCAUUCGAGACUGCAUAGCUAGGGUGCGGAAGAGGGAAGCGGAAUUUCAGGUGUAGCGGUGAAAUGCGUAGAUAUCUGAAGGAACACCAGUGGCGAAAGCGGCUUCCUGGUCCAGCACCGACGUUCAGGCACGAAAGCGUGGGGAGCAAACAGG